CAGGCGCCUACGGGACUAGACCGAGCGACAGCGACUGCGUGCUGUUCGCGCCCCGACACGAAGCGGGCUCCGAUGGACAGACUACCGUGUGCUUGCUAAAGCUGGUGCUCAGAAGAAGAGGGCGGCUUUACUUGGUGUCAGUGACAGAAAUGAAAAAAAGCUGAAAUGAGUGAGAAGGACGAUGAAGGAAACAUCUGUGCUGUGUCUGCUCUACGGUGGUGGAUCUGCAGGAAGAACUGAGGACGUCCGUCAUGGACAAAUCAUCAUCAUCAUCAUCAGAGAGAAGAGAGAGUCCGAGCUGAGAGAAAGCCACAGACUCCGAGCAAGAGGGCGACUUUACUUGGUGUCAGAGACAGAAAUGAGAAAAAGCUGAAAUGAGUGAGAAGGACGAUGAAGGAAACAUCUGUGCUGUGUCUGCUCUAGUUUCUACCAGAGCCAAAUGUCAUCGACUCCUCACUGAAGUCGUCCACCAGUCCAACCACUGGAAUCCAGCUGCUGCUCUCUACAGGGAGUGCAGAAUUAUUAGGCAAAUGAGUAUUUUGUCCACAUCAUCCUCUUCAUGCAUGUUGUCUCACUCCAAGCUGUAUAGGCUCGAAAGCCUACUACCAAUUAAGCAUAUUAGGUGAUGUGCAUCUCUGUAAUGAGAAGGGGUGUGGUCUAAUGACAUCAACACCCUAUAUCAGGU